rnacentral:lncRNA from 1 species
AAAAACUUUAUGCUUCCUCUCUCCCUUCGCGCCGUUCUCAGGCCAAGACUAUCCCUAACCUCCUCCGAUAGCCACGAAACCGAUGAGAACGACGACGGGGUCACCGAGGUAAGUACUUCCUUUCCCUUUUAUUAUAUAUAUAUGCUUAUAUAUAUGUUUAAUAGCAAAAUAGAAGAAGAGAAAAUCAAUCGGAAAAGAAAAAGGAACCCAAUCGAGAAAAGGAAAAAAGAAAAAACCUUUCUUCUCUAUUGAUUUCGUGUAUUUUUUGAUACAAUAUGCGUCUAUGUGCUCAUUGUCUUUUUUGUGCGUGAGUCCCCCCUUUUACAGUGUUUGAAUGGCUUUUUAUAGCCAAAGAAAACGACAGAAUAAAAUAAAAAAUCUCGCAUUAUUUUCUGUAUUUCCCCGCUAUUCUUCUUUGUUUGUCUGCCUUUGCCUGUUGCAGGUACGAAGGCGCGGGCACAAACGUACGGAGGCUCGCGUGAGGUUGAUUGCGGCUUGAUGGCUUGCUGGAGCGGCGACUGAGGCGUGUGAAGGCAUGGCGCGGCUCGGCGCAGCGCAUGGGGCCGGCGUGGAACGGCUCGGAGGCAUGGUGGUGCACGCGCGAAAGGGGCUCGACCUGCCUGCGGUGCAAAUUGUUCCAGAAACCCUAGGGUUUUUGGAUGUUUCAAACAAAUGGGCCACUAGGGUUUGGGCCUAUUGUAUUGGGUCAGGGUUUAGACUAGUAUUUGGGUUUAUGCUGGGUCUUAAGACUUUGGGUUUGUAAAUGGAUUGUUUUGGGACUAUUUUUUAUUUUAUUUUAUUUUAUUGACGGGCCCGGGCAAAUUGGGCCUAUUACACUUGUUAUUAUAUUUUUUCAUAAUUCAAAUUGAUCUCUAA